CACGUAGGGUGCGAGCGUUGUCCGGAAUUAUUGGGCGUAAAGAGCUCGUAGGCGGUUUGUCGCGUCGGGAGUGAAAACCUCGGGCUUAACUCGGGGCUUGCUUUCGAUACGGGCAGACUGGAGGUAUGCAGGGGAGAACGGAAUUCCUGGUGUAGCGGUGAAAUGCGCAGAUAUCAGGAGGAACACCGGUGGCGAAGGCGGUUCUCUGGGCAUGACCUGACGCUGAGGAGCGAAAGUGUGGGGAGCGAACAGG
rnacentral:rRNA from 1 species